rnacentral:rRNA from 1 species
GUUUGAUCCUGGCUCAGAACGAACGCUGGCGGCAGGCCUAACACAUGCAAGUCGAGCGCUCNCUUCGGAGGGAGCGGCGGACGGGUUAGUAACGCGUGGGAACGUACCCAGAUCUAAGGAAUAGCCUCGGGAAACUGAGAGUAAUACCUUAUACGCCCUUAGGGGGAAAGAUUUAUCGGAUUUGGAUCGGCCCGCGUUAGAUUAGAUAGUUGGUGGGGUAAUGGCCUACCAAGUCUACGAUCUAUAGCUGGUUUGAGAGGAUGAUCAGCAACACUGGGACUGAGACACGGCCCAGACUCCUACGGGAGGCAGCAGUGGGGAAUCUUAGACAAUGGGCGCAAGCCUGAUCUAGCGAUGCCGCGUGAGUGACGAAGGCCUUAGGGUCGUAAAGCUCUUUCGCCNGGGAUGAUAAUGACNGUACCUGGUAAAGAAACCCCGGCUAACUCCGUGCCAGCAGCCGCGGUAAUAAGG